UCGAACGUAGUGUAUGGUGCACGGCCUUAACAAAUGCGAUUCUGGGACAUUGAUAUCAAAGGCAGGAUGGGGUUCGACUCCCCGCGUUCGAA